UAACAGGUGACUGCCAAGGCCAA
rnacentral:piRNA from 1 species